AACGAACGCUGGCGGCAGGCCUAACACAUGCAAGUCGAGCGGGCAUCCUUCGGGAUGUUAGCGGCGGACGGGUGAGUAACGCGUGGGAACGUGCCCUUUGCUACGGAAUAGCCUCGGGAAACUGAGAGUAAUACCGUAUGUGCCCUUCGGGGGAAAGAUUUAUCGGCAAAGGAUCGGCCCGCGUUGGAUUAGGUAGUUGGUGGGGUAAUGGCCUACCAAGCCGACGAUCCAUAGCUGGUUUGAGAGGAUGAUCAGCCACACUGGGACUGAGACACGGCCCAGACUCCUACGGGAGGCAGCAGUGGGGAAUCUUAGACAAUGGGGGAAACCCUGAUCUAGCCAUGCCGCGUGAGCGAUGAAGGCCUUAGGGUUGUAAAGCUCUUUCAGUGGGGAAGAUAAUGACGGUACCCACAGAAGAAGCCCCGGCUAACUCCGUGCC
rnacentral:rRNA from 1 species